rnacentral:rRNA from 1 species
CCUACGGGUGACAGCAGUGAGGAAUAUUGGUCAAUGGGCGCGAGCCUGAACCAGCCAAGCAGCGUGAAGGAUGACGGCUCUACGGGUUGUAAACUUCUUUUAUACAGGAAUAAUGUGAGGUACGUGUGCCUGUUUGUAUGUACCUUAUGAAUAAGGAUCGGCUAACUCCGUGCCAACAGCCGCGGUAAUACGGAGGAUCCGAGCGUUAUCCGGAUUUAUUGGGUUUAAAGGGAGCGUAGAUGGGUUUUUAAGUCAGUUGUGAAAGUUCGCGGCUCAACCGUAAAAGUGCAAUUGAUACUGGCUGACUUGAGGACAGAUGCGGUAGGAGGAAUGUGUGGUGUAGCGGUGAAAUGCGUAGAGAUCACGCAGAACUCCGAUUGCGAAGGCAGCUUACUAAACUGCCACUGACAUUGAUGCUCGAAAGUGUGGGUAUCAAACAGGAUUAGAUACCCCUGUAGUC